UACGUAGGGUGCAAGCGUUGUCCGGAAUUAUUGGGCGUAAAGAGCUCGUAGGCGGUCUGUCGCGUCGGCUGUGAAAACUCGGGGCUCAACCCCGAGCCUGCAGUCGAUACGGGCAGACUAGAGUGCUGUAGGGGGAGACUGGAAUUCCUGGUGUAGCGGGUGAAAUGCGCAGAUAUCAGGAGGAACACCAGUGGCGAAGGCGAGUCUCUGGACGACUCCUGACACUGAGGCACGAAAGCUAGGGGAGCAAACAGG
rnacentral:rRNA from 1 species